UUGGAAUGAUGAGUAAAUAUCUCCUGAUUUACGUGAUGGAUGACUCGAGCUUUUUAACACUGACAUAGA